rnacentral:rRNA from 1 species
AUUGAACGCUGGCGGAAUGCUUUACACAUGCAAGUCGAACGGCAGCACGGACUUCGGUCUGGUGGCGAGUGGCGAACGGGUGAGUAAUACAUCGGAACGUGCCCAGUCGUGGGGGAUAACGUAGCGAAAGCUACGCUAAUACCGCAUACGCUCUAAGGAUGAAAGCGGGGGAUCGCAAGACCUCGCGCGAUUGGAGCGGCCGAUGGCAGAUUAGGUAGUUGGUAGGGUAAGGGCCUACCAAGCCGACGAUCUGUAGCUGGUCUGAGAGGAUGAUCAGCCACACUGGGACUGAGACACGGCCCAGACUCCUACGGGAGGCAGCAGUGGGGAAUUUUGGACAAGGGGCGCAAGCCUGAUCCAGCCAUUCCGCGUGCAGGAUGAAGGCCUUCGGGUUGUAAACUGCUUUUGUACAGAACGAAAAGGCUCUGGUUAAUACCCGGGGCUCAUGACGGUACUGUAAGAAUAAGCACCGGCUAACUACGUGCCAGCCGCCGCGGUAA